GAUGAACGCUGGCGGCGUGCCUAAUACAUGCAAGUCGAGCGAACAGACGAGGAGCUUGCUCCUCUGACGUUAGCGGCGGACGGGUGAGUAACACGUGGAUAACCUACCUAUAAGACUGGGAUAACUUCGGGAAACCGGAGCUAAUACCGGAUAAUAUAUUGAACCACAUGGUUCAAUAGUGAAAGACGGUUUUGCUGUCACUUAUAGAUGGAUCCGCGCCGCAUUAGCUAGUUGGUAAGGUAACGGCUUACCAAGGCAACGAUGCGUAGCCGACCUGAGAGGGGGAUCGGGCACACUGGAACUGUGACACGGUCCAGACUCCUACGGGAGGCGGCAGUAGGGAAUCUUCCGCAAUGGGCUAAAGCGUGACGGAGCAACGCCGCGUGAGUGAUGAAGGUCUUCUGAUCGUAAAUCUCUGUUAUUAGGGAAGAACAAAUGUGUAAGUAACUAUGCACGUCUUGACGGUACCUAAUCAGAAAGCCACGGCUAACUACGUG
rnacentral:rRNA from 1 species